rnacentral:lncRNA from 1 species
CAGCUGGGCUCGGCGCUCCGCUUGCUUGCGGGGCUGAGGCGCCUGCGCGGGGCACAACCCUCCUAGAGGCGGGACGGUUUCCUGCCAAUCACUGCUGGUUUGCCCUCCCCCUGGCGUUGGCCCGGCUGACUCGGGGUAGGGGAGGUCGGGGAGGGGGCGAUAAAAUGGCGCAGGGGGCGGAGUGAGGCGCAGUCGUUCGCCCAGGCUUUGGCCCGGCUUUCGGAGGUGAAGAGCGGGAGGGACGAGGGGGUCGGCGUUACCCGGCUUGGAGGGGGAUGGGGGCGCCUGUUGCUUCUGCAGGGGGUUGCGCACGCCGUCCGCCCCUUGGAGGGAUUG